rnacentral:tRNA from 2 species
ACGUUCCGCAGCCCGCGCUGGCGGGGCUGCUGCUGGUGACCGCGGCGAGGCUGGUCGACUUCAGGCGAUUGUUCUACACGCUCAGGGCGUC